AUACGUAGGGGGCAAGCGUUAUCCGGAUUUACUGGGCGUAAAGGGAGCGUAGACGGUUUGGCAAGUCUGAUGUGAAAGCCCGGGGCUCAACCCCGCGGACUGCUUUGGAACCUGUGUUGCUGGAGGGCAGGAGAGGUGAGUGGAAUUCCUAGUGUAGCGGUGAAAUGCGUAGAUAUUAGGAGGAACACCAGUGGCGAAGGCGGCUCACUGGACUGUAACUGACGUUGAGGCUCGAAAGCGGGGGGAGCAAACAGGAUUAGAUCCCCUGGUAGUCCACGCCGUAAACGAUGAAUGCUAGGUGUCGGGGGGCAAAGCCCUUCGGUGCCGCCGCUAACGCAUUAAGCAUUCCACCUGGGGAGUACGUUCGCAAGAAUGAAACUCAAAUGAAUUGGCGGGG
rnacentral:rRNA from 1 species